CUCCCAUCUGCCUGUUCCAUCUCUAGAACAGCUGUAGUUCAUGUGUUGUUUACUUGGUUUGUUAUGUGCAUAAAUAAUUUCUUAAAAUGGAUAAGUCAUUGGGGAUGUACUCAAUAAAAAUUCUGCGUAAUGCAAAUCGCAAAAGCAAAGUAUGGGAGUUUUUUUGGCAUCUUGCAAGUGACAACGACAACCGAAAGCAAAUGCAUUGAAGAGGACAAGGUUUUUUGUAAAUUAUGUUUGGAUGAGCAGAAAAAGAACGACGAAACAAUAAUAUUGUCAUGUGCUAAAAUUCAGUCGUAUUCCAAGAACUG